UAGCAAUAUCCCUAUGAAACAGAAAGAGUGAAAGUUAUCUGCAUUAGUAUUUUAAGUUUGCACUGUUAGAGCACUUCUGAAGUUAAUCUCCUGAUUGUCCCCACCUACUCUGCUUUGGUUUAUACUGUGUAGAGGUUGGAGUAACAGAGCUGGAUUCUCACUGGAUGAAACUAAUAUAAAGAUGAACACCAAGGGUCCAGCUUCAUGAAUGCUCAGGAUUAAAGCAGGAUUAGACUCUACUUCACACAAAUGAAAAAAACCUCUAUAGGGUGGGUGAGUUCUGAUGGUCAACAUCAGCUCCUUACCUUCAACUCUUUCAGUCUCCACAUCUGAUCCUUCUGUUUCACUACUUGCUAUUGUAGACAAAGCCUGAACAAUUUGCUGAAGGCCAAAAAGUAUGUCAAAAGCAUUGUGAAGACACAGCUCAGCCCUUCUGAGUUUCUUGUUCUCUUCAAGAUGCCUAUGGUCUAGAGCAGAACUCAAUCCUGUUCUCUUAAACAGAGCUGUGAGCACAGGAGCAGCCAUUUCCACACAGCCUCACACCUCCUGCACUCACCACAGGCAGCAGGAAACAAAGACGCUGAGAAAUCAGAAGUGAUCCUGGGAACAGCUUUGGAAUUUGCUGCAGUUGCAGACCAGGGAGGAGUGCUCAGCAUCUGACCAUACGGGCUCAGCCAAGAAAGAACAAUCAAGUGCUAUUUUCAAGGGUGACUGACUGCAAGCCCUUGGAAUGAGCAUCUCUAGGAGACCUCAUCUGACAUCUUUUAAAGAGCCAGCAAAAAUCCCAGCGGAG
rnacentral:lncRNA from 1 species